ACCUUAGUAACGGCGAGUGAAGCGGUAAUAGCUCAAAUUUGAAAUCUUACUGUUUUACAGUACGAAUUGUAAUUUGUAGAGGAUGUUUUUGAGUAAUUAUCUUUCUAAGUUUCUUGGAACAGAACGUCAUAGAGGGUGAGAAUCCCGUAUGUGAUUGAUUAAUUCUCUAUACAAAACUCCUUCGAAGAGUCGAGUUGUUUGGGAAUGCAGCUCUAAAUGGGAGGUAAAUUUCUUCUAAAGCUAAAUAUCUGCCAGAGACCGAUAGCGCACAAGUAGAGUGAUCGAAAGAUGAAAAGCACUUUGAAAAGAGAGUUAAAAAGCACGUGAAAUUGUUGAAAGGGAAGCAUUUAAGAUUAGACUUGUUGAUGAUAUUCGCUUGGUUCUUGAACUGAGUUAUUUGUUAUUAACAGGCCAACAUCAUUUUUAUUUCUUGGAUAAUAAUACUGGAAUGUAGCUCCUCGGAGUGUUAUAGCCAAUGUUGAUACAAGAUAAUGAGAAUGAGGUCCGCGAUUCGUCUAGGAUGUUGGCGUAAUGAUCUUAAGUGGCCCGUCUUGAAACACGGACCAAGGAGUCGAUCAAUUAUGCGAGUUUUCGGGUGUUAAACCCUUGAGCGUAAUGAAAGUGAACGGAGGUGAGAGUCGCAAGACGCAUCAUCGACCGAUCCUGAUGUCUUCGGAUGGAUUUGAGUAAGAGCAUAAUUGAUCGGACCCGAAAGAUGGUGAACUAUGCGUGAAUAGGGUGAAGCCAGAGGAAACUCUGGUGGAGGCUCGCAGCGGUUCUGACGUGCAAAUCGAUCGUCAAAUUUGCGUAUAGGGGCGAAAGACUAAUCGAACCAUUGGUUAUCAGUACUAGGUGGUUAAGAGGGACGUAAAAGGCGAGCCCUAGUCUUGACAACUGAGAAGGGAGUUGUUGAGGCGACACCGUCAAAUUGUUCGGGGACCUCCUAAAGCUCAAUAGACCAAAUCAUUAUCGAA
rnacentral:rRNA from 1 species